rnacentral:sRNA from 1 species
AUAUUCUGCCCACGGGGAAGGAUGAGAAGCUUCGACUAAGGUUCGACUCGAGCGAAGCGAGAGAACGUUGCCGCAGGCAACGGCCCGAAG